AGAGGAAGCAUCCAAAGGGAUCGCAUUGAUCCCAACUUAUAUAUUUACAGUUUUCUUUUCAUUUUCUUUCUUCUACAUAAUUUUGGAUCAUGCUAUCCCUUCGGAUUCCUCCUU
rfam:Cucumis melo, WGS project CAJI01000000 data, contig: 28183